rnacentral:lncRNA from 1 species
GAAACGGUCAAGUCUUGUCUGAGAGCCUGUGACCUCACUGAGACCGACAGAUAUUUCACAUUUUAACAAUACAAAAGUUUUGUUUUAGAAUUGACUUUAAAUUUCCGGAAGCUGAAUAAGGAAAUAUGUUUAUUUAAAUACAUGCUUAUGAAUAAUGUUAAAAUAAUCUUUAGGAUCUUUAGUAUUAGUUGUAGCAUUAGGGGAAAUUACCAUUCGGAUCCAUUUGUUCAGGGUGGCAACAAAUACUCUGAGAUUACAAGACAGCAUUUUUUUCUCCAUAAAAUUAUUUGGGAAGCCCU